AUGGCACAAAGUUUACCCCUAAGGCUAUUAUCAUGUGGGCCAUGCAUCAAAUCUAAAACAGCAACAGAUUCAAAUAUUCAUGCACACAAACUUGCUCAAAACUCAAAACAAAUACCACCAUCAGAUUCCUUGGAUUUUUCUACCCCAAAAACAUAUAUAAUAUGUUGGGGGUUGCUUGGAAAAAUAAUGCACAAUUGCAAAGAACAUAAACUGCCAAUUAUGGAAAUAUCCAAAAACGUAUUAUUCCCAAAAGGGAAUAUUCCCAAACAGGCCAACUCCCACGAGUUGAUUAAGAUAUGCACUGGAGUGGAUGACAGGUGGGGUCUGGAUGCUAGUGAGGCUGACCAAUGGGACCCACCUGUCAGCGAGACUGGAUAA
rnacentral:rRNA from 1 species